rnacentral:rRNA from 1 species
CAUCUAAGUACCCCGAGGAAAAGAAAUCAACCGAGAUUCCCCCAGUAGCGGCGAGCGAACGGGGAGGAGCCCAGAGCCUGAAUCAGUGUGUGUGUUAGUGGAAGCGUCUGGAAAGGCGCGCGAUACAGGGUGACAGCCCCGUACACAAAAAUACACAUAUUGUGAGCUCGAUGAGUAGGGCGGGACACGUGGUAUCCUGUCUGAAUAUGGGGGACCCAUCCUCCAAGGCUAAAUACUCCUGACUGACCGAUAGUGAACCAGUACCGUGAGGGAAAGGCGAAAAGAACCCCGGCGAGGGGAGUGAAAAAGAACCUGAAACCGUGUACGUACAAGCAGUGGGAGCACGCUUAGGCGUGUGACUGCGUACCUUUUGUAUAAUGGGUCAGCGACUUAUAUUCUGUAGCAAGGUUAACCGAAUAGGGGAGCCGAAGGGAAACCGAGUCUUAACUGGGCGUUAAGUUGCAGGGUAUAGACCCGAAACCCGGUGAUCUAGCCAUGGGCAGGUUGAAGGUUGGGUAACACUAACUGGAGGACCGAACCGACUAAUGUUGAAAAAUUAGCGGAUGACUUGUGGCUGGGGGUGAAAGGCCAAUCAAACCGGGAGAUAGCUGGUUCUCCCCGAAAGCUAUUUAGGUAGCGCCUCGUGAAUUCAUCUCCGGGGGUAGAGCACUGUUUCGGCA